AUGUGGCGUCGGCGCCGCGCCCUGCGUCGCCAGCAGGAGGGUGCCCCCCUUGGCGGUCGGGGCUCGCCCACUUUGUCGGAGCGACGGCUCAUCCCUCCCGAUCUCUAUGGGCUCUGCUUUCGCUGCUUCUUGGAGGGCCACCGGCGGCAGGACUGCACCAACGACCCGAUGUGCAUCAGGUGCGGGCUUUCGGGGCAGGUUUCCGCCCAGUGCAAGCGGCCUCGCAGCCCCAUCUCCGAGGACGAACUGCGGCGUGCGAUGAUUGCAAAGGUGUCCAAUUCCAUGCCGGGGCAGGCGGCUGGGACGGCGGGUGUGGGGGGAUCGUUGUUGGAGCCUGGACAGAGCGCGGCCAGGGCGCCGCCGCUGUCAGUUGCGCCCAGCUUUCCUCCCAUGGUCUCCGUGCCCUCCCCCAAUCCCAUGGUGCCAGCGCCGCCGUUCCAUCGGGGCCUGCCGGAUGUAUGUGUGGUGUCGCGCGCGGAGGACAUGAACGACUUGGAGCGUCGUCUUCAGCUUGCGGUGGUGAUGUAUGUGGGAGGCGCCAGACCAUCGGUGUCGUGCGAGGAGGCGACGGUCAUGAUUGCGGCUGAGCUGCGCUUGCCGCGGCACCAGUUCUCAGUGCACAGGUACCAUCCGGAGGAUUUCUUGGUAGUGUUCUCGUCCCAUGAUGCUCAGAACAGGGCGCUCAGUUCGCCGAUCAUUCGCCACCUCGGCAUCCAGCUUCACUCUAAGCCAUGGCUGCGGCAAGCCCAGGCGACCACGAGGCUGAUGCGAUGUCAGGUGGAUGUUUUGAUCGAGGGGAUUCCGGCGCAUGCUUGGUCCCGAUGCGUGGCGGCAGAGCUGCUGGGGAAGGCUUGUCUGAUUGAGAGUCUGGCCCCGGAGAUGGAGAGUCGCGAAGAUCUAUCGCUGUUCAAACUGCGGGCAUGGUGUGUGGAUCCAGACGAUGUGCCGGUGAGUCGCCGGCUCUGGAUUCCGGAGCCACCGGAGCCGGCGCCCAACGCUGCGGAUCGACGGCCGUUCUUUCGCCAGCUCAUGGAGUAUCCCACGCUCAUCCGCAUAGGCCGGAUGUGUGAUUUUUGGGAGCCUCAGCUUUGGCGCAGAUCGGGCAGUUCAAGUGGUGACAGCGGCCAGAGUGGGUUGCCGGACAACUCCCCGGAGUCCUUCGCGGGAGGAGAUUGGAUGGUUUGA
rnacentral:rRNA from 1 species